GGCGAAAUAUUUUAUUUAAAAUGUUAAAUUGCAAGUUUGAAGAUGAUUUAUUUAUAGAAUCUUUCGCUU
rnacentral:tRNA from 2 species